GACGAACGCUGGCGGCGUGCUUAACACAUGCAAGUCGAACGGAAGGGCCCUGCUUUUGUGGGGUGCUCGAGUGGCGAACGGGUGAGUAACACGUGAGUAACCUGCCCUUGACUUUGGGAUAACUUCAGGAAACUGGGGCUAAUACCGGAUAGGAGCUCCUGCUGCAUGGUGGGGGUUGGAAAGUUUCGGCGGUUGGGGAUGGACUCGCGGCUUAUCAGCUUGUUGGUGGGGUAGUGGCUUACCAAGGCUUUGACGGGUAGCCGGCCUGAGAGGGUGACCGACCACAUUGGGACUGAGAUACGGCCCAGACUCCUACGGGAGGCAGCAGUGGGGAAUAUUGCACAAUGGGCGGAAGCCUGAUGCAGCAACGCCGCGUGCGGGAUGACGGCCUUCGGGUUGUAAACCGCUUUCGCCUGUGACGAAGCGUGAGUGACGGUAAUGGGUAAAGAAGCACCGGCUAACUACGUG
rnacentral:rRNA from 1 species